rfam:Equus caballus chromosome 20, whole genome shotgun sequence.
CCAAAGGCUCUUUUCAGAGCCACCUAACACUUCCCAAGAAAGAGCUU